rnacentral:rRNA from 1 species
CAGAAACUUAAAGGAAGUUGACGGGGGCCCGCACAAGCGGUGGAGCAUGUGGUUUAAUUCGAUGAUACGCGAGGAACCUUACCUGGGCUCAAAUGUAUGUUGACGUAUUCUGAAAGGGAUACUUCUUCGGACAAUAUACAAGGUGCUGCAUGGUUGUCGUCAGCUCGUGCCGUGAGGUGUCGGGUUAAGUCCCAUAACGAGCGCAACCCCUAUCAUUAGUUGCCAUCAGGUCAAGCUGGGGACUCUAAUGAAACUGCCUACGCAAGUAGUGAGGAAGGUGGGGAUGACGUCAAAUCAGCACGGCCCUUACGGCCUGGGCUACACACGUGCUACAAUGGUCGGUACAAAGGGUUGCCAAGCCGCGAGGUGGAGCUAAUCCCAUAAAACCGAUCGUAGUCCGGAUCGCAGUCUGCAACUCGACUGCGUGAAGUCGGAAUCGCUAGUAAUCGUGAAUCAGAAUGUCACGGUGAAUACGUUCCCGGGCCUU